UACGUAGGAUGCAAGCGUUAUCCGGAUUUAUUGGGUUUAAAGGGUGCGCAGGUUGUUUGAUAAGUCAGUGGUGAAAGUCUGUCGCUUAACGGUAGGAUUGCCAUUGAUACUGUUAGACUUGAAUAUGGAUGAGGUAGGCGGAAUGUGUAGUGUAGCGGUGAAAUGCAUAGAUAUUACACAGAACACCGAUUGCGAAGGCAGCUUACUAACCCAUCAUUGACGCUGAGGCACGAAAGCGUGGGGAUCAAACAGGA
rnacentral:rRNA from 1 species